ACGAACGCUGGCGGGGUGCUUAACCCCUGCAAGUCGAACGGAAAGGCCCUGCUUUUGUGGGGUGCUCGAGUGGCGAACGGGUGAGUAACACGUGAGUAACCUGCCCUUGACUUUGGGAUAACUUCAGGAAACUGGGGCUAAUACCGGAUAGGAGCUCCUGCUGCCUGGUGGGGGUUGGAAAGUUUCGGCGGUUGGGGAUGGACUCGCGGCUUAUCAGCUUGUUGGUGGGGUAGUGGCUUACCAAGGCUUUGACGGGUAGCCGGCCUGAGAGGGUGACCGGCCACAUUGGGACUGAGAUACGGCCCAGACUCCUACGGGAGGCAGCAGUGGGGAAUAUUGCACAAUGGGCGGAAGCCUGAUGCAGCAACGCCGCGUGCGGGAUGACGGCCUUCGGGUUGUAAACCGCUUUCGCCUGUGACGAAGCGUGAGUGACGGUAAUGGGUAAAGAAGCACCGGCUAACUACGUG
rnacentral:rRNA from 1 species